AUGAGUUAGGUCAGAGGUUCUGAACUGUGACGAUCGGCUUUUCCACGA
rnacentral:snoRNA from 1 species